GACGUAGGGCGCGAGCGUUGUCCGGAUUUACUGGGCGUAAAGGGCGCGUAGGCGGCGUGUUAAGUCAGCUGUGAAAUCUCCAAGCUUAACUUGGAACGGUCAGCUGAUACUGAUGUGCUAGAGUGCAGAAGGGGCAAUCGGAAUUCUUGGUGUAGCGGUGAAAUGCGUAGAUAUCAAGAGGAACACCUGAGGUGAAGACGGGUUGCUGGGCUGACACUGACGCUGAGGCGCGAAAGCUAGGGUAGCAAACGGG
rnacentral:rRNA from 1 species